CCAGUAAUCCAUUCCUCGCCCCAGGGAAACUCCUGCCUUUUGGGAAUGUGUCUCCUGGGGUCAACUGUGCACACAGGCUAGUGUGCAUGGGGAGCCAGGCCAGCACUAUGGGGACCUGAUUGAGAGAGAGGUUGAUGGCAAUCUCCUGCUAACAGUUCUCAACCUCUCACAGGUGUCACAUAGAAUGGGCAUCAAGUGCAAUGGGUAACUACAGCAUUGUCAGGGAGUUUGUGCUCCUGGGAUUUUCUUUUUUUUUUUUUUUUUUAAUUGAUCAUUCUUGGGUGUUUCUCGUGGAGGGGGAUUUGGCAGGGUCAUAGGACAAUAGUGGAGGGAAGGUCAGCAGAUAAACAAGUGAACAAAGGUCUCUGGUUUUCCUAGGCAGAGGAGCUCCUUGGAUUUUCUUAUCUCCAUGAGUUCCAGGUUCUGCUGUUUGCUCUGAUCCUGUUGAUAUAUGUGCUGAUGCUGCUGGGCAACCUGGCCAUCAUCAGCUUCAUUUGCCUUGAUUCCCGCCUUCACUCACCCAUGUACUUCUUCCUCUGCAACUUCUCCCUCAUGGAGAUGGUGGUCACCUCCACUGUGGUACAUAGGAUGCUGGCAGACCUGCUAUCCACUCACAAGACCAUGUCCCUGGCCAAAUGCCUAACCCAGUCUUUCUUUUACUUCUCCCUGGGCUCUGCCAACUUCCUGAUACUCAUGGUCAUGGCCUUUGAUCGCUACGUGGCCAUCUGCCACCCCCUGCGCUACCCAACCAUCACGAAUGGUCCAGUGUGUGUGAAGCUGGUGGUGGCCUGUUGGGUGGUUGGUUUCCUCUCCAUUGUCUCUCCCACACUGCAGAAAACACGACUCUGGUUCUGUGGCCCUAACAUCAUCGGCCACUACUUCUGUGACUCUGCCCCGCUGCUCAAGCUUGCCUGCUCUGACACCCGCCACAUUGAGCGCAUGGACCUCUUCCUGUCCCUGCUCUUUGUGCUGACCACCAUGCUGCUUAUCAUCCUCUCCUACAUCCUCAUUGUGGCUGCAGUGCUGCACAUCCCUUCCUCCUCUGGAUGCCAGAAGGCCUUCUCCACCUGUGCCUCUCACCUCACAGUGGUGGUUCUGGGCUAUGGCAGUGCCAUCUUCAUCUACGUGAGGCCAGGCAAGGGCCACUCCACAUACCUCAACAAGGCGGUGGCCAUGGUGACUGCAAUGGUAACCCCUUUCCUCAACCCCUUCAUCUUCACCUUCCGGAAUGAGAAGGUCAAGGAGGUCAUUGAGGAUGUGACUAAAAGGAUCUUCCUUGGAGACCCAGCAGCCUGUAGGUGAGAGGGUGAGCCCUUGACAGGGCUAGAGAGCACCUGACAAGUCACGAGGAGUAGACUUGCUGCAGGUGGGCACCCACAUGCCUAAGCUGGAGCUCCUCACUCUCUUUUUUCUCAUUUUCUCCUGGUCCCUCAUCUUCAUGCAAGUUUCUUCUCCUGCACUGCAGAGAACUAAUGGACACACAUUGGUAGAAUGUCUCAAAG